UUACUGUAACCGGAAUGAACCCGAGCCUCUACUCUGGCCUUGGGAUUUGUUGGAAGCAGAAGAAAGCGGGCGAGUCUGAGAGGCAGGAAACCUCGGCCACCUCUUUCCCCAGGGAGCGUGAAGAAGGGCGGAUCGGAGCGCAGGACCCACAGGCAGCUUCCCUGCCCUUGACCCUGUCUCCUCCGAGCACCUGAACCACCUACUCAUGAAGAACUGAUGGUGGGGGACACGACGGUGGAUGGCCGAGGAUACAAUACAAUGUGCGACUCAAUACUCAUGGGACUAAGAGACGAAGGUCACCCUGUGUUGCCUCUCAACUACCGCCAUGUUCCUGAAUAGCCUACCAGUUUGGAUGUAUCCGAAAACAAGGAGUGCAAUGUCAAAUCCAUAUCCCCAGGGUCACCUUCUCCGGUCCCUGAGCACCUGUUGCUGCAGGCUUAUUGUCUAGUUAUCCGUGUAUAAACGGGUUGU